rnacentral:rRNA from 1 species
UGCCAGACUCCUACGGGAGGCAGCAGUGGGGAAUAUUGGGCAAUGGAGGCAACUCUUACCCAGCAAUGCCGCGUGAAUGAAGAAGGUCUUCGGAUUGUAAAGUUCUUUAAUUGGGGACGAAAAAAAUGACGGUACCCAAGGAAUAAGCCCCGGCUAACUACGUGCCAGCAGCCGCGGUAAUACGUAGGGGGCAAGCGUUAUCCGGAUUUACUGGGUGUAAAGGGAGCGUAGACGGCGGUGCAAGCCAGAUGUGAAAGCCCGGGGCUCAACCCCGGGACUGCAUUUGGAACUGUGCUGCUAGAGUGUCGGAGAGGCAGGCGGAAUUCCUAGUGUAGCGGUGAAAUGCGUAGAUAUCAGGAGGAACACCGGUGGCGAAGGCGGCCUGCUGGACUGCAACUGACGUUGAGGCCCGAAAGCGUGGGGAGCAAACAGGAUUAGAUACCCCCGUA